GGCGGCGUGCCUAAUACAUGCAAGUCGAACRCUUCUUUUUCCACCGGAGCUUGCUCCACCGGAAAAAGAGGAGUGGCGAACGGGUGAGUAACACGUGGGUAACCUGCCCAUCAGAAGGGGAUAACACUUGGAAACAGGUGCUAAUACCGUAUAACAAUCRAAACCGCAUGGUUUUGAUUUGAAAGGCGCUUUCGGGUGUCGCUGAUGGAUGGACCCGCGGUGCAUUAGCUAGUUGGUGAGGUAACGGCUCACCAAGGCCACGAUGCAUAGCCGACCUGAGAGGGUGAUCGGCCACAUUGGGACUGAGACACGGCCCAAACUCCUACGGGAGGCAGCAGUAGGGAAUCUUCGGCAAUGGACGAAAGUCUGACCGAGCAACGCCGCGUGAGUGAAGAAGGUUUUCGGAUCGUAAAACUCUGUUGUUAGAGAAGAACAAGGAUGAGAGUAACUGUUCAUCCCUUGACGGUAUCUAACCAGAAAGCCACGGCUAACUACGUGCCAGCAGCCGCGGUAAUACGUAGGUGGCAAGCGUUGUCCGGAUUUAUUGGGCGUAAAGCGAGCGCAGGCGGUUUCUUAAGUCUGAUGUGAAAGCCCCCGGCUCAACCGGGGAGGGUCAUUGGAAACUGGGAGACUUGAGUGCAGA
rnacentral:rRNA from 1 species